GUCACGAAUUGGAAAUUCUGCAAGAGAUAUUAAAUUCAUUUGAGCGUUUCGUUUGCUUUUCAUUUCAGUUCAUUUAUUAUUUAGGCUUAAACCUUUGCUUACGAAGUAUUUUCAAAUGUACCUCUCUUGCAAUAUUUGUUUAGUAUUUUCUUUAUUAAUUAUGGAGAUUUCUGCGCUUACUAAUCAUCCCUCAAUUGACGAUAAUCCAGAAAUUAGGGAGAAGUACGCUCAGUUUUACUGUUAUAAGCUAAAAACUUGCACACCGGGUGGCGAUAAAGUUUGCGGAUUUGACGACACGCAAACGUAUCUUGCUGAAUUUGAAGAUUUGUGCACCUUGUACAAAAUAAACUGUGAUAAGCGAGGCCUUUUUCGUCUCAUCGAGGCAUCUAUUUGUAAAGGCCAAAAGAAGUAUUUAUCUCAACCACGAGAUAUGAUGUUUGUAAUUUGACUUCGGUAGAAUUAUACUUCAAUAUUAUAAAUAAAAAUAAUCUUAAACAGUUA